AUAGUCGGGCCGGGUCGGUUACCGGCCCAAAUCGAACACCAACCGAAAUAAUCAGAAAUCUCAUUUCUGGAACCGAACACCACAUUCUUGUUGGCUUCGGCCGAAUUUUCGGUUGGGUCAAAUUCUUGAAUCGGGGCAGGUCGGUUUCGGUGGAGACAGAGACGUCGGAGACUCGGAGAGAGAUAGAGAGAUCGAGAGGUCAACCUUUCAUUUGGAGGUUGAGAGAGAAUGAGAGAUAGGCUUCUGCAACCAUAAUCAUAAACCACCGAUCCAAACCAUAGUUCCAAACCAUAAUCAUAUUCCAUAAUCAUAGAUGUGCAAAGAGAUAGUCUCAAUUUUAAACUCAGUAUCUAUACUCAAGUUUUAUUUCGUCUCUGUGACUCUUCCAUUAUGUUUUUUUGAUUCCAGAUCUGCGAGAUUCAAGCAGAGUAGCUUGUCGUGUUAAUUGUUUUGAAUGUUAAUUUCUUUCACUUCAAUUUCUUUUGGUUAUAUCAUUCAGCAUCAAAUUGUAAUGCACACAAGAUGUUCGACAAAAUGAUUCUAAAUUGCUUUCUUUUGAGCUUAAGGCUUUGGGUUUAACCUACAGCAGGUUUUGGUCUUCUUUUCUUAUGCUACUAGUGAUUGAUCUUAAUUACUAGUUUCAUGGGAAUGAGUGAGACUGGAGUGUUCAGGUGGUGACUUUCACCAGGGAGGUGCAUAUUGCGUGUAAAAAUGCGGUUGAAAUGGGGUUUUUUUCCGGUUAUCAGAUGGAGACCAAAGAGGCUAUUUCCGGUUAUCAGAGGUAGUAUGAAAAGUACCAACUUGUGACAAUAGUCUAAAGUGUGAAGUAGGGUCUUAAGUGUUUAGAUCCGGUUGUUUGUAUCGUAAAGGUUUCAGUAAUAUCUUCUCAUCCCAAGGGAUAAGUGCAAACAGGAAUUUCAUAGUUUUUGGUUUGUUUGUAUAAUUACCAUAUGGCUUCAAGUUGAGCAGAGAACGCAUUGUUUUGUUUCUUUCAAGUUACCCAGAGCACAUUUCUUUCAUGCUCUACUUUCCAUCUCCAAGGAAAAUUACCAUACUACAAUGCAUGACAUAUUUUUUUCACAUUGCAUUUGUGGAUUGCAAAAUGAACGAUGAAAAGAAUAAGUAGCUCACAAAUGCUUUAUCAAUGGCUAGAACUUCAACUUCACGCACAAUACAACAUCAGAUUCCUGUUUUCUGCAACUCUCCUUGAAAGACAAAUUGCAAUUUCUACACUAAAAACACAAUGGAACCUUAUUGUCAGCCUAAAUAUCUUAAACCCUUAACAUGAGCUCACUUUAUUAUAUUAUACAACGACAUUGCAUAUACUUUUGAAAGGAAUAAAAUUGUUUUAACAAAUAGUGAUUAAACUAAGACUCCCGCAAAAACGAAUUCAGGAAGGGAGUGGGGUCUUCCAGCAAUCAAGAUACAUACGCAAACUACCACCUUAUGACCUCCAGCAGUCUCCUCCUUUGCCUGCAUAAGUCCUCUGCUUCUUUAUCAACCUGGAAUAUGUAACCAUUUGAAAAACCAAUGAGCAAUGAAAUGCUUGCAAUAUAUUUACGGUUUCCGUACCAAUUUCUUGACUGAGACUUGAGGAAGCUAUUCUUAAGAUAGUCUCAUAGCACGAUUAUGAUGUGCACUUAGCAGCCGUAUAAUGAGGUCCACAACCUUCCCAGCAAGGAUAAAUGCUAAACAACCAUCAAUUCAGGCUACAGCAAUUCAAUUCAUCAACCCAUCAAUGAGACUUUGACAAAGAACAGAGCAAAAAGGACACACUUUCUUGAAAGCCCCCUUGCCUAAAACCUAUAUGUACCGCGAAGUGCAAAUCACCAAAAACACAAUAUCAGCACAAAUCAACUCAUAUUCAUCAACCCAAAUCAGUACUUGAUGAAAAGAAUAAGACUUGCAAGAGUAGAACAGCUAAAUCAAAUAAAAAACCGAAACCAUAGUGUACAAUCGAAAUUACGCAAUAAUUGAAUUAAAGCCAGAGAUUAAGUUCGAACAACUGAACCGUCCGUAACGACCAGUGAGAUCAACCUUAGUGAACUCAGCUUCGGCAUCGUCCGCUUCCUGGUCCAACGGCAAAUCUUGAGGCAUUGAUUCUCGCAAAGCCUUUUGCUUUCGAUCAAAUCAGACUACGAUCGGAUUCGGAUCGAAUCCAAAACCCUCAAAUUCAAUUUGGGUGGGAACCAAUUGUGAUUUGUGAAGAGGACCCGCUAAAAAUAGAAACGCAGCAGAGUCGGCGAUGUGGUUUGGAUUUCUGGGUUUUGAGAGAAAGCGAGGAAGACGGUCGAGAUGCCCAGCGCCCAGACCACCUGCUGCCUCGGGUAAAUUUGGCUUUUACUGCACUACAAUUUUUUUGGUCUUCGUUUGACUAUGGUUAGUGAACAAACGACCAACCAACGUUGGUAUUCAACUGUUAGCACACGUGACUGGCACCCUGCUGGUGCAAGUGACCCGACGGUGCAUGGAAUCCUCUCCGGUAAAUAUAUAUUAAUGUUAACGGUGUUGGAGAAUGUGCAGCCAAGGCCAACAGUUAAAACCAAAUGCCCGGGAAAGUUGGUGGAUUUGGCUCUUGAGAAAGUUAGUUGUGUCGAAUCUUCCAAGCUAUAUUAUAACAAGAAAAGAUAAACUUUUUCUGACCCGUCGUUUUGGUUUUGACUGGGGAGAGUUGAGAGAACUUGAAAGCAAAAUAGACGGUUUUACCAGAAAGAAUGGGCGUUUGUCUAUGGUGUCUGUGACUCAUUUUAUUUUUAAUUUAUUUAAAAUUACAAUUUAAUUGAAUUAAAUUCUCUACAUUGACAACAACUUUACCACAUUCAUUUUACUUUGGGAUUGGGUAUCUGGGUUUUUGUUUCUUUGGUGGUUUGCAAAUUUGUUUAUUGGGUUUUGAUAUUGAUAAUUUCUGCACUGACAUUUUCGAUUUUGUGUGGAUUACAGAAAGGUUGGGACUGGGUUUCUUUGUUUGUAUGUGCAAACUCACUCUAAAUCUUUGUAUGUCUCUGAUUAGGGGUUUGGGUGACGCAGAGGUUGCUGAAAUUGUUAUUAAUUUUGGAGCUUCUGGAUUUUCGAUAAGGAUGAACGCAGUAUCGACACAAGUUGUCUGAGUGCAGCUUUUAAUGGGUGAGGUUUUUGGUGCUAGGCUUCUUUUGGAUUUCUUGCUUUUGGUCCAAGAAGCUUGCUGAUCAGUUUAAUGUAAUUUUCAGUCAGCAAUUAAGACUAUAGUUUGAAAGUCUUAUAAAAAAUUAUUAGUUCUAGGUUUGUUUACAAAUGGAAGCUUAAUAGACAUAGGUUUGUUUAAAAAAAUAUUGAAAGCAUCUUAAUAAAACUAAAUUAAAUAACCAUUUCAGAUUUGUUUAAUUCUUUGUACUAUCAGGAAGAUACUCAUCAGUUUUCUGUUUUGGAGAGAUUAUUCAGAGCACCGCCGUGCACUUGCACCAACAUAAAUGAAUGGCUUACAUUCCAGAAGUUCCGGCCAGCAGACUUUGGCUGAGCUUAAAGGACUACAUCAAUUGAUAAGAAAUUUGCAAGAUUUUUAGUAUUUUUACGGGGAUUUUCUUUUUUGAAUCGACCCCUACAAUUUCUUAAUCACCAGCCUAAGCCCUCACUUAUUUACCAUAGUACUUAACUUGGUUCAGUUCUAUGACCAAUUGGUUGAGACACCAGAUUUUGGAAAAUGUAAAACAAUACCAUUUGUAGGUAUGUAAUGUAUUUAA